rnacentral:rRNA from 1 species
GUUAGCGGCGGACGGGUGAGUAACACGUGGGUAACCUGCCUGUAAGACUGGGAUAACUCCGGGAAACCGGAGCUAAUACCGGAUAGUUCCUUGAACCGCAUGGUUCAAGGAUGAAAGACGGUUUCGGCUGUCACUUACAGAUGGACCCGCGGCGCAUUAGCUAGUUGGUGAGGUAACGGCUCACCAAGGCGACGAUGCGUAGCCGACCUGAGAGGGUGAUCGGCCACACUGGGACUGAGACACGGCCCAGACUCCUACGGGAGGCAGCAGUUAAGGGAAUCUUCCGCAAUGGACGAAAGUCUGACGGAGCAACGCCGCGUGAGUGAUGAAGGUUUUCGGAUCGUAAAGCUCUGUUGUUAGGGARGAACAAGUGCAAGAGUAAMUGCUUGCACCUUGACGGUACCUAACCAGAAAAGCMACGGCUAACUACGUGCCAGCAGCCGCGGUAAUACGUAGGGUGGCAAGCGUUGUCCGGAAUUAUUGGGCGUAAAGGGCUCGCAGGGCGGUUUCUUAAGUCUGAUGUGAAAGCCCCCGGCUCAACCGGGGAGGGUCAUUGGAAACUGGGAAACUUGAGUGCAGAAGAGGAGAGUGGAAUUCCACGUGUAGCGGUGAAAUGCGUAGAGAUGUGGAGGAACACCAGUGGCGAAGGCGACUCUCUGGUCUGUAACUGACGCUGAGGAGCGAAAGCGUGGGGAGCGAACAGGAUUAGAUACCCUGGUAGUCCACGCCGUAAACGAUGAGUGCUAAGUGUUAGGGGGUUUCCGCCCCUUAGUGCUGCAGCUAACGCAUUAAGCACUCCGCCUGGGGAGUACGGUCGCAAGACUGAAACUCAAAGGAAUUGGACGGGGGCCCGCACAAAGCGGUGGAGCAUGUGGUUUAWUUCGAAGCAACGCGAARAACCUUACCAGGUCUUGACAUCCUCUGACAACCCUAGAGAUAGG